rnacentral:rRNA from 1 species
GUCAAGUCAUCAUGGCCCUUACGACCAGGGCUACACACGUGCUACAAUGGCGCAUACAAAGAGAAGCGACCUCGCGAGAGCAAGCGGACCUCAUAAAGUGCGUCGUAGUCCGGAUUGGAGUCUGCAACUCGACUCCAUGAAGUCGGAAUCGCUAGUAAUCGUGGAUCAGAAUGCCACGGUGAAUACGUUCCCGGGCCUUGUACACACCGCCCGUCACACCAUGGGAGUGGGUUGCAAAAGAAGUAGGUAGCUUAACCUUCGGGAGGGCGCUUACCACUUUGUGAUUCAUGACUGGGGUGAAGUCGUAACAAGGUAACCGUAGGGGAACCUGCGGUUGGAUCACCUCCUUACCUUAAAGAAGC